rnacentral:rRNA from 1 species
UUAUCCGGAUUUAUUGGGUGUAAAGGGAGCGUAGGCGGGUGCUUAAGUCAGUUGUGAAAGUUUGCGGCUCAACCGUAAAAUUGCAGUUGAUACUGGGCGCCUUGAGUGCAGCAUAGGUAGGCGGAAUUCGUGGUGUAGCGGUGAAAUGCUUAGAUAUCACGAAGAACUCCGAUUGCGAAGGCAGCUUACUGGACUGUAACUGACGCUGAUGCUCGAAAGUGUGGGUAUCAAACAGGAUUAGAUACCCUGGUAGUCCACACAGUAAACGAUGAAUACUCGCUGUUGGCGAUACACAGUCAGCGGCCAAGCGAAAGCAUUAAGUAUUCCACCUGGGGAGUACGCCGGCAACGGUGAAACUCAA